rnacentral:rRNA from 1 species
CCUACGGGAUGCUGCAGUGGGGAAUAUUGGACAAUGGGCGAAAGCCUGAUCCAGCCAUGCCGCGUGUGUGAAGAAGGCCUUCGGGUUGUAAAGCACUUUCAGUGGGGAAGAAAGCCUUGGGGCUAAUACCCUCGAGGAAGGACAUCACCCACAGAAGAAGCACCGGCUAACUCCGUGCCAGCAGCCGCGGUAAUACGGAGGGUGCGAGCGUUAAUCGGAAUUACUGGGCGUAAAGCGCGCGUAGGCGGUCUGAUAAGCCGGUUGUGAAAGCCCCGGGCUCAACCUGGGAACGGCAUCCGGAACUGUCAGGCUAGAGUGCAGGAGAGGAAGGUAGAAUUCCCGGUGUAGCGGUGAAAUGCGUAGAGAUCGGGAGGAAUACCAGUGGCGAAGGCGGCCUUCUGGACUGAAACUGACGCUGAGGUGCGAAAGCGUGGGUAGCAAACAGGAUUAGAUACCCUAGUAGUC